AACGUCAUAGUUUAGUAUGUCGUCCAAAAUGAGAAAAAAACAUCAUAGUUUAGUAUGUCGUCCAAAAUGAGAAAUAAACGUCAUAGUUUAGUAUGCCGUCCAAAAUGAGAAAAAAACUCAUAGUUUAGUAUGCCGUCCAAAAUGAGAAAAAAAUUCAUAGUUUAGUAUACCGUCCAAAAUGAGAAAAAAACGUCAUAGUUUAGUAUGUCGUCCAAAAUGAGAAAAAAAACAUAAUAG